rnacentral:rRNA from 1 species
CCUACGGGAGGCAGCAGUGAGGGAUAUUGGUCAAUGGGGGAAACCCUGAACCAGCAACGCCACGUGAGGGAAGAAGGUUCUCGGUUUGUAAAACCCUGUCCUCUGUGAAGAUGAUGACGGUAGCCGAGGAGGAAGCUCCGGCUAACUACGUGCCAGCAGCCGCGGUAAUACGUAGGGAGCAAGCGUUGUCCGGAUUUACUGGGGGUAAAGGGUGCGUAGGCGGCUUUGCAAGUCAGAAGUGAAAGCCAUGGGCUUAACCCAUGAACAGCUUUUGAAACUGCAGGGCUUGAGUGGGAUAGAGGUAGGCGGAAUGCGCGGUGUAGCGGUGAAAUGCGUAGAGAUCGGGAAGAACACCAGUUGCGAAGGCGGCCUGCUGGGCUCUAACUGACGCUGAGGCACGAAAGCGUGGGUAGCAAACAGGAUUAGAUACCCGUGUAGUC